rnacentral:lncRNA from 1 species
AGAAAAUAGAAAAGAAUAAUGAAGUCGAGAAUAGGAAAACAUUGAUAGAAUCCAUGAAAUCCAAAUUUGAUUUUUUUGAAAAGAUCAGCAAAAUUAACCAACCUUCACCUUGAAGCAACAAGAACAAAAGGUAUGACCCAAAAUAUAAGAUUUGAACAUGGGGUCAUUCUGCCUAACAGAAAGAAAAGGCAUCCCAAUAGAGGACUGUGAAUAAUUUAGAUGAAAAGAUUCAAUUUUCUGCCAGUUAAUCAGCAGGAGGCCACAGGGGAGCACAAGUUCACCUUGCACAAUGAAGGCAAGGAUACUGCCCUGAGCUCCUAUGGCCACUAGAGGAUGCCGAAUCCCGCUUACUGCCCCAGGUGGUGCACAGGCCUGUGGAGCCUGGGCCUGGUUUCCUUAGAACCCAGCCCUGGAAGCUUGUCCUCCACUUGUGUAGAGGGAGCCUCAUCUUUGCCAAGGAGGUGGUAUUUUGGAGGCUCUGAUCCCCAAGGAAGGUGCUUUUGUUCGCCGCUGCUUGUGGACGAUUUCUUAAGUAGGCCAUUCCCAAAGGUUUGUUCUUUCCUUCCUCACAUUGCAUUCAGCAGCAUUUGGACGAAAUGACCCAUUUAUUUCAGGUGGAGGCUCGUCAUAGCAGAGGAGGGAGGUGAGGUUUUGUGCACAUGCAGGUGGUUUCUGGGGAGAAAUCCCCAGGACACAUACAGAAAAAGGGACACCUCCAAUUGGGGACAGAAUGGACCCAGUCCUGUAGCUGUACUGAUGAGCUGUGAACAUAGGACUUUCCAGGGUGAGGGGUGAGGAAGGCCAGGGGGAAGUGUCAGUGGGUGGUGACCCACUUAUUUUUAUAAUUAAUUAGAGUUUAUCUUGUCCCCCAGGUGAAAGCAGUUGAAAAACAAGUGGCGAAUUUAAAGGGGGUCAAGUAAAACUCAUGACAUUUUUUUUUGUUUCAAUAUUGCAUUUAUAUCAAAACUAUAAUUCAAUACAAUUUUACUUUCCUGGGUUUUAUGAAAGCAAAUAAUAUGUUUUAAAAGGAUACUUAUUAGUUCUUCUCCUUCUCAAUGGAGAGAAUUAUCAUCUUUGACAAUUGCUCAUGACUCUGUGAUGACUUUAAAUAAUUUUAUAUUAAUUGGCACUGGGUAAAAAGCAUCUUUCUCAGGACACUGCUGUGACUGUGAUGCUCAAAAAUAAUAUGUCAGAAUGACUUCCAGGUGUGAAAUGUAUUUCACUAAGCAAAAUUUGUCAAUCACUUUUAGAAGAUUCCCAAAAUGAUGGUGGUACUUUAAUAACAACUAUUGAUAUUUUAUGUCAAUAAAGGCCAUUCAUAUGAAAUGCUUACAGAAUUUAAUACAAAAUCCAGUGAUGGAGUAUUUUGCACGAGAUGUUUUUUGAAUUAAUUUUUUAAUUAUUCAAUAUCUGAAGAUACUUUAAUUUUAUGUAUCUCUAAUGCAAUGGGGGAAGUUAGGAUGCCUUAACAUUCUGUACAAAUUUUCCGUAUGCAAAAAAAAAAAAAAAAGUUUGUUGGCUGUGGUUGUGGCUCAGGGAUAGAAUGCUUCCUAGCAUGUGUGAGGCUCUGGGUUCUAUCCUUGCACCACAUUAAAAAUAAAUAAAUAAAUAAAGUUAUUGUGUCCAUCAACAACUGAAAAAACCAAUAUUAAAAAUUAAGUUUAUCUAAUUUCACCAUCUUUCCUGUCCCCAUGCCCCGUCCCCUCCCAUCAUUACCCUAGGUACAUGUAUGACUGAACAUCUGGUGUGACUCUAUGUUGUGUACAAGCAGAGAUAUGAAAAAUUGUGCUCCGUUGUGUACAAUGAAUCAAAAUUCAUUCUGUGUCAUGUAUAACUAAAUAGAACAAAUUUUUGAAAAGAAAAAAUCAUGUUUAUCUCCCUAAAUAAUUGGAACUUUGAGCCUUGGAUCCUACAUUAUCAAUUUUUAUUUGCAUUUGUCUUUGUUCAUUUUCUAAUUUGGAAAGUAUAUUAUGUCUUUUAACAGUUCUUCUUCAAACAUUCUUGAAGUUACUUUCUUUUCCUGUUAGCAAAAGCCUUCUAAUAAGGAAUGCAGAUUUAUUUUUUGGAAAUUAUUUUGUUGUUAUUGGAAAGCCUAUUUGACUUCCUCUACUUUUCCCCUAAAAUACCAGCCCAUAUUGAUGAAUCGCAGAAAUUAUUAAUUUGCCCAAAGAAGGAUUGGAUUUGGU